GACGAACGCUGGCGGCGUGCCUAAUACAUGCAAGUAGAACGCUGAAGAGAGGAGCUUGCUCUUCUUGGAUGAGUUGCGAACGGGUGAGUAACGCGUAGGUAACCUGCCUUGUAGCGGGGGAUAACUAUUGGAAACGAUAGCUAAUACCGCAUAACAAUGGAUGACACAUGUCAUUUAUUUGAAAGGGGCAAUUGCUCUACAAGAUGGACCUGCGUUGUAUUAGCUAGUAGGUGAGGUAAUGGCUCACCUAGGCGACGAUACAUAGCCGACCUGAGAGGGUGAUCGGCCACACUGGGACUGAGACACGGCCCAGACUCCUACGGGAGGCAGCAGUAGGGAAUCUUCGGCAAUGGGGGCAACCCUGACCGAGCAACGCCGCGUGAGGGAAGAAGGUUUUCGGAUCGUAAAGCUCUGUUGUAAGUCAAGAACGGGUGUUAGAGUGGAAAGUUCACACUGUGACGGUAGCUUACCAGAAAGGGACGGCUAACUACGUG
rnacentral:rRNA from 1 species